UAUAUUAAUAAAAAGUAAAAACAUGGUUGUUGAUGAGACAAACAUUUUAAAAUAUAAUAGAGCGUUAAAAAGAAAAAUAGGGUUAGAUGAUUAUAUACAAAUAAUGGAAAAAACUAAUAAAAAACAAAUUUUUAUGGAAGAAGUUAUAAAACCAAAAGUAAAUUAUUUUGAAAAAAUAAAUUUAAAAAUUAAAAAACAAUUAAAAAAAUAUUCAAAAAUUCUUCAAAACGAAAGGGAAAGUGCUUUAUAUCUAUUGCGUGAUAAUGAGUAUGAAAAUGAAGAAGAAGAAGAAAAAACGGAAAGAGAGAAAAACAAAAUAAGUGUACCAAACAGGAAAUUAUUAAAUUCAUAUGUUAUUGAUACACAAAACUAUAGAACAUCUGCUUUGAAUGAACAAAAAGUAUCAACCGGGAUGAGAAAUAGUAAUGAAGUUAUGAUUGAACAAACAGGUGUAUCUAUUACAGGUAAUACUAGUGGAGACAUUAGUGUAGGUAAAAAAACCCAAUGGCGUUUUUCUAAUUUAAGUUAUUAUAAUACUGGUAAAAAAAUGGAUUUAUCUCCAUUAUUAUUAUCUAGUACUUCAGUCGUGGAAGGUAUGGGAAUAAUGGUAACAACUUGUGUCAGUAAAUACAAACAAAUGUUUCAUAAAAUGAUUAGGGAUGUAGAAGAUGAUCUAACACAAUUUGAAUUAUUAAUAAAUGGUUAUGCACAAAAUAUAAUUAUUAUUAUUAUAUUUUGUUGUUCUUUAUGUAUUUUACUGAUUUUUUUACAUUUUUUUAUAAGUUUAAUAGAAAAUAGUAUGCAAACAUUAUCUUAUCAUAUAUUAGUUUUUUUAUUAAAUACACUUAUUUUUGAAAUAUUAAAAUAUUUACUAGUAUCAAUUGAUCAAUUUCCUUUACUGUUACAAAAUAAUUUAGCAUUCAAUUCGGAUAGAAUAAUAAAAGAAAAUUUUAUUAUAAAAAAUAAAAAAAUAUUUGAACGUAUUAUGUUUACAAAUACGAUAUUUAUUGAUAUGGAUAGAUAUAUAAAAUAUAAGUGUAUAUAUUUUUUUUAUAACCAUAAUUAUUCAGUUUGUUUUGAUCCCAAAUGGAGAUAUGGACAUGACCAUGUUCAUACGGGUAGUGACAUAGAUAGUAACACAAAACAAGACUCUAUCUGUAGCAGUAGUACAGAAUAUUUACCAAAAUCGAAUCCAACAAAUGGUUCUUCUUUUUUUUCUAAAAUAAAAUUAAUUGAUAAUAAUAUGAAAUUAUACAAUAGUAACAUGUCCGAUUUUCAGAAUACCACACAGCAAUUAUUUUUUUGUUACUAAUUCAAUGUAUUUUUACAACUAGUAACUUAUAUCAUUUUAAUAUGUCUUAUUCUUUAAUAGAUUUGGCUUUAUUAAAAUUUAUGAAUAAUUUUAACAUAGACUUAGAAAAUUUUUUUAUUUUUAAAAAAUAUAUUUUACAUAUAAUAGAAAAAACAAGUCAAGACAUGGUUGCAUCAUUUGUAUUAUUUAACUCUUUGUUGUUAAAUAAUGCUGACAAUUUAGAAGAUGAAAAAAAAAACAAAAACCAUGAAAAAAAUUUUAAUGGUGAAAGUAACCAUGCACGUACUGAUGAUGUUAGUACAAAAAAUCAGAUGAAUGUUAUAAGGAUAUUUAUAAAGGGAAGUUCGACUGCAGUUUUGUCUAAAUGUUGUCAGUAUCUGGAUGGCGACAAAUUGUGCAGGUUCGUGUGUAUGCAUUUUUGUUUUUAUGUUGCAUCUUUUUGUAGUGGAUGUUUUUGUAGUGG
ensembl:lncRNA